rnacentral:lncRNA from 1 species
AUGGAUUGCAAUAGACACGCCGCAUUUUGGUCUGACUCUCAUAUACAGAAAACCGUUACAGAAUCACCCACCACAAAGGGACCAAGCAGCCAGCGUGUCAACAGGCAGGAACAGCCCAAAGUGGAGUACAGUAUGGACUAUACUUCUUGGGAGGAGAUAGACAGGUGGGCGGUCGACCCAGGGAGAGUGCCGGAGCCCGCCUGGGAUUCGAUGGAGCAGUGCGCGGAAGGAUAUAGGAGAAUGGAGUUUGCGAAGCAAGCAAGGCGGCGCGGACGGAGGCCCCAGAGUCAGCCCCAAAAAUUUCUUGGGGGGGGGCUCAGGGAGAGUGUGGCAGAGUCUGGAGCCAGACCUGAGCCAACUCUCCCUGUUUAUCGUGAGGAGCCAAGGAGGAGACCAGAACCAGAGCCGGUGUUGGAGGUGAGCGAAACAGAGACUGUGAAGGAGUUAAUGGGGAAAUUGGAGGAGAGAGAAAUGAGGGAGUUGCUGUGUUGGUGUUUUAAACAUGGAAUUCGCCCGACGGAGCGUGUCGGGGAUUUGAUGGCACCUGGGUCAGCGCUCCAUACUCGUCCUGAGGUGCGUGUUAGUCGGCUGGUGAAGAUGGUGCCAGUCUCACGUACCAGGCCUCCUGUGCAGCUCCCUAGCCUUGCACGUCCUGUGCCAGCACCGCUCUCAAGAUCUCCAGUACGCCUUCACGGUCUAACCCAUCCUGUGCCACCUCCACACCCCAGCCCUCCGGUAGCAGCUCCCCGCACCAGGCUUCCUGUGCGUGUCCUCGGCCCAGUACCACCAGUGCCAGCACCACGCAUCAGGCCUACAGUGCGCCUCGCCUGUCCAGCGCUGUCGGAGCCCUCCUCCUCUCCAGCGCUGUCGGAGUCUCCCGCCUGUUUAGCGCUGUUAGAGCCUUCCUUCUCUACAGCGCUGCCGGAGUCUCCCGCCUGUUCAGAACUGCCAGUUUGCAAGGAGCUGCCAGUUUGCAUAGAGCUGCCAGUUUGCAUAGAGCUGCCAGUUAGCAUAGAGCUGCCAGUCUGCAAGGAGCUGCCAGUCUGCAAGGAGCUGCCAGUCUGCAAGGAGCUGCCAGUCUGCAUAGAGCUGCCAGUCUGCAUAGAGCUACCAGUCUGCAAGGAGCCGCCAGAGCUGCCUGUCUGCAGGAUGCCGCCAAAGCUGCCUGUCUGCAAGGAGCCGCCAGAGCUGCCAGUCUGCAAGGAGCCGCCAGAGCUGCCAGUCUGCAAGGAGCAGCCAGGGCCGCCAGUCAGCAUGGAGCAGCCAGGGCCGCCAGUCAGCAUGGAGCAGCCAGGGCCGCCAGUCAGCAUGGAGCAGCCAGGGCCGCCAGUCAGCAUGGAGCAGCCAGUCAGCAUGGAGCAGCCAGUCAGCAUGGAGCAGCCAGAGCAGCCAGUCAGCAUGGAGCAGCCAGAGCUGCCAGUCAGCAUGGAGCAGCCAGUCAGCAUGGAGCAGCCAGAGCUGCCAGUCAGCAUGGAGCAGCCAGUCAGCAUGGAGCAGCCAGAGCUGCCAGUCAGCAUGGAGCAGCCAGUCAGCAUGGAGCAGCCAGAGCUGCCAGUCAGCAUGGAGCAGCCAGUCAGCAUGGAGCAGCCAGAGCUGCCAGUCAGCAUGGAGCAGCCAGUCAGCAUGGAGCAGCCAGAGCUGCCAGUCAUCAUGGAGCAGCCAGUCAGCAUGGAGCAGCCAGAUCUGCCAGUCGACCAGACUCUCCCAGAUCUGCCAGUCGACCAGACUCUUCCAGAUCUGCCAGUCGACCAGACUCUUCCAGGUCAGCCAGGAUCUGCCAGAUCUGCCAGUCAGCCAGGAUCUGCCAGAUCUGCCAGUCAGCCAGGAUCUGCCAGUCAGCCAGGAUCUGCCGAAACCACCAGCCAGCCAGGAUCUGGUAGAUUCAUCAACCUGCCUGAGCUUCCUCUCACUCCUGAGCUUCCUCUCACUCCUGAGCUUCCUCUCACUCCUGAGCUUCCCCUCAGUUCCGAGCUGCCUCAGUCCCGAGCUGCCCCUCAGUCCCGAUCUGCUCCUCAGUCCAGUGGGGUUCUGGGUGAGGACUACUAG